rnacentral:rRNA from 1 species
UACGAAGGGGGCUAGCGUUGUUCGGAAUUACUGGGCGUAAAGCGCUCGUAGGCGGAUACUUACGUCAGGUGUGAAAUCCCGGGGCUCAACCCCGGAACUGCCUUUGAUACUGGGUAUCUCGAGUCCGGAAGAGGUGAGUGGAAUUCCGAGUGUAGAGGUGAAAUUCGUAGAUAUUCGGAGGAACACCAGUGGCGAAGGCGGCUCACUGGUCCGGUACUGACGCUGAGGUGCGAAAGCGUGGGGAGCAAACAGG